rnacentral:rRNA from 1 species
GUGGGGAAUAUUGGACAAUGGGCGAAAGCCUGAUCCAGCCAUGCCGCGUGUGUGAAGAAGGUCUUCGGAUUGUAAAGCACUUUAAGUUGGGAGGAAGGGCAGUAAGUUAAUACCUUGCUGUUUUGACGUUACCGUCAGAAUAAGCACCGGCUAACUUCGUGCCAGCAGCCGCGGUAAUACGAAGGGUGCAAGCGUUAAUCGGAAUUACUGGGCGUAAAGCGCGCGUAGGUGGUUUUGUAAGUUGGAGGUGAAAUCCCCGGGCUCAACCUGGGAACUGCCUCCAAAACUGCAUGACUAGAGUACGGUAGAGGGUAGUGGAAUUUCCUGUGUAGCGGUGAAAUGCGUAGAUAUAGGAAGGAACACCAGUGGCGAAGGCGACUACCUGGACUGAUACUGACACUGAGGUGCGAAAGCGUGGGGAGCAAACAGGAUUAGAAACCCUGGUACC